GCAUACAUGGGCAAUGAACAAGCAAUCGAUGAGCAGGCCGUGACAUUGGACUGGCUCAAGGUUAGCUGCAUACUUGAAGAGGCACAUGUGAUGUGUUGCAGGCCACAGCUAAGUGAAUACUGAAGAUCAUAAGUAUGUAUAAUUCACGCUCUAGCGGUUAUGAAUUGAGACACAAACAGCGCAAUACAAAAACGACAUAGAAAGCUUUUGUUAAUAUUGCGUGCUCAACUUUAUAAGUAAUAAUGUUCUGCUCAAAGCGGUUUUACCUGGAAC